rnacentral:lncRNA from 1 species
AACGAACGUCCACUCACAACUUUAGGCAUAAGCCGGACGAAAUCCAAUUCACCACUCAAGUGAGGUCUCCUCAAAUCUUGGCACAAAAACUAUGCUUAUGACCACACUUCAAUUUCAGAAUAAAUAAUACUUAAAUAUAUAACCCAAAACUCUUCCGCCUAACCCACUACCCUUUCUAGGGUUAAGCUUAUCGGAUUCACGCCAAAAUCCAACCACAACCUUAUUUCCUUUAUUUCAACAUUCUAAAACAAUAAUAAGGAAAAUCCAACGGUCGGAUUCUAUCCCAUUACCCGCCAUAUUCACCAAACUUUGAAAAAAAUCUCAAACCUAUCCAAAACUCUUUUAAAAAUUCCACACUUCACAUCAAUAAACUCCCCUUAAUAUUAUACAUUUAAAACCAUAAAAAUCCCCUAAACAAUGGCAGCGGCGGCCGGAGACCGACUCCGGCAACCUCCAAUGCCUACCAAAAUUUAACAGCAUCUUCCUCUCAACCCCCUCUACAACUUUCCUAACUAGCACAAACACAAAUUCCAAGCCUAGAUAGGGUAAUCGAACAAAAACAUCAAAUGAGCCCUAAAAUUUCUAACACCAAAAUCUCCUUAAUGGGUUCAAUAUCAAGAACCAUUUUGAUUUCCAGAAAGUCUAUUUUUUUGUGAUUUUACUCAUCUAAAUGGUAGACAUUUCUAAUAAAAAUAGUAGUUAUGUGUCUUAUGUCAAAUGUAGACUUUGAAACUUUUGACUUUAAUGGGUUCAAUAUCAAGAACCAUUUUGAUUUCCAGAAAGUCUACUUUUUUCUGAUUUUACUCAUCUAAAUGGUAAACAUUUCUAAUGAAAAUAGUAGUACUGUGUUAUGUUAAAUAUAGACUUUACAACUUUUGCCUUUAAUGAGUUCAAUAUCAAGAACCAUUUGGAUUUCCAAAAAGUCUAACUUUUUGUGAUUUUGCUCAUCUAUAUGGUAGACAUUUUUAAUUGGUUCAAUAUCAAAAACUGUUUUGAUUUCCAGAACGUUUACUUUUUUGUGAUUUUGUUCAUCUAAAUGGUAGACAUUUCUAAUGAAACUAGUAAAUGCGUCUUAUGUCAAAUGUAGACUUUGAAACUUUUGACUUUAAUGGGUUCAAUAUCAAAAACCAUUUUGAUUUCCAGAAAGUCUACUUUUUUGUGAUUUUACUCAUCUAAAUGGUAGACAUUUCUAAUGAAAAUAGUAGUUGUGUGUUAUGUUAAAUGUAGACUUUGCAACUUUUGUCUUUAAUAGGUUCAAUAUCAAGAACCAUUUUGAUUUCCAGAAAGUCUACUUUUUUGUGAU